GACGAACGCUGGCGGCGUGCUUAACACAUGCAAGUCGAACGGUGAAGCGCCUUCCUUUUUGGUGGGUGUGGAUGAGUGGCGAACGGGUGAGUAACACGUGAGUAACCUGCCCCCUUCUUCUGGAUAACCGCAUGAAAGUGUGGCUAAUACGGGAUAUUCUGGGUCUGUCGCAUGAUGGGUCUGGGAAAGAUAUUGUUUCGGUGGGGGAUGGGCUCGCGGCCUAUCAGCUUGUUGGUGGGGUGAUGGCCUACCAAGGCGGUGACGGGUAGCCGGCCUGAGAGGGUGGACGGUCACACUGGGAGUGAGACACGGGCCAGACUCCUACGGGAGGCAGCAGUGGGGAAUAUGGCGCAAUGGGCGCAAGCCUGAUGCAGCGACGCCGCGUGAGGGAUGGAGGCCUUCGGGUUGUGAACCUCUUUCGCCAGUGAAGCAGGCCUGCCUCGUUUGUGGGUGGGUUGACGGUAGCUGGAUAAGAAGCGCCGGCUAACUACGUG
rnacentral:rRNA from 1 species